rnacentral:rRNA from 1 species
UCGAGCGAACUGAUUAGAAGCUUGCUUCUAUGACGUUAGCGGCGGACGGGUGAGUAACACGUGGGCAACCUGCCUGUAAGACUGGGAUAACUUCGGGAAACCGAAGCUAAUACCGGAUAGGAUCUUCUCCUUCAUGGGAGAUGAUUGAAAGAUGGUUUCGGCUAUCACUUACAGAUGGGCCCGCGGUGCAUUAGCUAGUUGGUGAGGUAACGGCUCACCAAGGCAACGAUGCAUAGCCGACCUGAGAGGGUGAUCGGCCACACUGGGACUGAGACACGGCCCAGACUCCUACGGGAGGCAGCAGUAGGGAAUCUUCCGCAAUGGACGAAAGUCUGACGGAGCAACGCCGCGUGAGUGAUGAAGGCUUUCGGGUCGUAAAACUCUGUUGUUAGGGAAGAACAAGUACGAGAGUAACUGCUCGUACCUUGACGGUACCUAACCAGAAAGCCACGGCUAACUACGUGCCAGCAGCCGCGGUAAUACGUAGGUGGCAAGCGUUAUCCGGAAUUAUUGGGCGUAAAGCGCGCGCAGGCGGUUUCUUAAGUCUGAUGUGAAAGCCCACGGCUCAACCGUGGAGGGUCAUUGGAAACUGGGGAACUUGAGUGCAGAAGAGAAAAGCGGAAUUCCACGUGUAGCGGUGAAAUGCGUAGAGAUGUGGAGGAACACCAGUGGCGAAGGCGGCUUU